rnacentral:lncRNA from 1 species
AGUACCAUGCAGUUUUUUAUCACAAUUGCUCUGUAGUAAAGCUUUAGGUCAGGCAUGGUGAUUCCACCAGAGGUUCUUUUAUCCUUGAGAGGAGUUUUUGCUAUAUUAGGUUUUUUGUUAUUUCAGAUAAAUUUGCAGAUUGCUCUUUAUAAUUUGUUGAAAAAUUGAGUUGGAAUUUUGAUGGGGAUUGCAUUGAAUCUGUAGAUUGCUUUGGGCAAGAUAGCCAUUUUUACAAUGUUGAUCCUGCCAAUCCAUGAGCAUGGGAGAUCUUUCCAUCUUCUGAGAUCUUUAAUUUCUUUCUUCAGAGACUUGAAGUUUUUAUCAUACAGAUCUUUCACUUCCUUAGUUAGAGUCACGCCAAGAUAUUUUAUAUUAUUUGUGACUAUUGAGAAGGGUGUUGUUUCCCUAAUUUCUUUCUCAGCCUGUUUAUUCUUUGUGUAGAGAAAGGCCAUUGACGUGUUUGAGUUAAUUUUAUAUCCAGCUACUGCACCGAAGCUGUUUAUCAGGUUUAGGAGUUCUCUGGUGGAAUUUUUAGGGUCAGUUAUAUAUACUAUCAUAUCAUCUGCAAAAAGUGAUAUUUUGACUUCAUCUUUUCUAAUUUGUAUGCCCUUGAUCUCCUUUUGUUGUGGAAUUUCUCUGGCUAGGACUUCAAUUACAAUGUUGAAUAGGUAGGGAGAAAGUGGGCAGCCUUGUCUAGUCCCUGAUUUUAGUGGGAUUGCUUCCAGCUUCUCACCAUUUACUUUGAUAUUGGCUACUGGUUUGCUGUAGAUUGCUUUUAUUAUGUUUAGGUAUGGGCCUUGAAUUCCUGAUCUUUCCAAGACUUUUAUCAUGAAUGGGUGUUGGAUCUUGUCAAAUGCUUUUUCCACAUCUAGCGUGAUGAUCAUGUAGCUUUUGUCUUUGAGUAUGUUUAUAUAAUGGAUUAUAUUGAAAGAUUACCAUAUAUUAAACCAUCCCUGCAUCCCUGGAAUAAAACCUACUUGGUCAGGAUGGAUGAUUGCUUUAAUGUGUUCUUGGAUUUCAUUAGUGAGAAUUUUAUUGAGUUUUUUGCAUCGAUAUUCAUAAGGGAAAUUGAUCUGAAGUUCUCUAUCUUUGUUGCAUCUUUCUGUGGUUUAUGUAUCAGAGUAAUUGUGGCUUUACAGAAUGAGUUGCAUAGAGUACCUUCUACUUCUAAUUUGUAGAAUAGUUUGUGCAGAACUGGAAUUAGAUCUUCUUUGAAGGUCUGAUAGAACUCUGCACUAAACCCAUCUGGUCCUGGGCUUUUUUUGUUUGGGAGACUCUUAAUUGCUGCUUCUUUUUCUUUAGGGGAUAUGGGACUGUUUAGAUCGAUAACUUGAUCCUGAUUUAACUUUGGUACCUGGUAUCUGUCUAGAAAUUUGUCCAUUUCGUCCAGGUUUUCCAGUUUUGUUGAGUAUAGCCUUUUGUAGAAGGAUCUAAUGGUGUUUUGGAUUUCUUCAGGAUCUGUUGUUAUGUCUCCCUUUUCAUUUCUGAUUUUGUUAAUUGGAAUGCUUUCCCUGUGCCCUCUAGUGAGUCUAGCUAAGGGUUUAUCUAUCUUGUUCAUUUUCUCAAAGAACCAGCUCCUUGUUUGGUUGAUUCUUUGAAUAGUUCUUCUUGUUUCCACUUGGUUGAUUUCGCCCCUGAUUUUGAUUAUUUCCUGCCAUCUACUCCUCUUGGAUGAAUUUGCUUCCUUUUUUUCUAGAGCUUUUAGGUGUGUUGUCAAGCUGCUAGUGUGUGCUCUCUCUAGUUUCUUUUUGGAGGCACUCAUAGCUAUGAGUUUCCCUCUUUGAAGUGCUUUCAUUGUGUCCCAUAGGUUUUGAUAUGUUGUAGCUUCAUUUUCAUUAAACUCUAAAAAGUCUUUAAUUUCUUUCUUUAUUCCUUCCUUAACCAAGGUAUCAUUGAGAAGAUUGUUGUUCAGUUUCCACGUGAAUGUUGGAUUUCCAUUAUUUAUGUUAUUAUUGAAGAUCACCCUUAUUCCAUGGUGGUCUGACAGGAUGCAUUGAACAAUUUCAAUAUUUUUGUAUCUGUUGAGGCCUGUUUUGUGACCAAUUAUAUGGUCAAUUUUGGAGAAGGUCCCGUGAGGUGCUGAGAAGAAGGUAUAUCCUUUUGUUUUAGGAUAAAAUGUUCUGUAGAUAUCUGUCAGAUCCAUUUGUUUCAUAACUUCUGUUAGUUUCACUGUGUCCCUGUUUAGUUUCUGUUUCCAUGAUCUGUCCAUUGAUGAAAGUGGUGUGUUGAAGUCUCCCACUAUUAUUGUGUGAGGUGCAAUGUAUGUUUUGAGCUUUACUAAAGUUUCUUUAAUGAAUGUGGCUGCCCUUGCAUUUGGAGCGUAGAUAUUCAGAAUUGAGAGUUUCUCUUGGAGGAUUUUACCUUUGAUGAGUGUGAAGUGUUGCUCCUUGUCUUUUUUGAUUACUUUGGGUUGGAAGUCGAUUUUAUUUG